GGGGGUGUAGCUCAGUGGUAGAGCGUAUGCUUAACAUUCAUGAGGCUCUGGGUUCGAUCCCCAGCACUUCCA
rfam:Homo sapiens chromosome 6 genomic contig, GRCh38 reference assembly alternate locus group ALT_REF_LOCI_1.